CUGGUCUUGACAUCCACAGAACUUUCCAGAGAUGGAUUGGUGCCUUCGGGAACUGUGAGACAGGUGCUGCAUGGCUGUCGUCAGCUCGUGUUGUGAAAUGUUGGGUUAAGUCCCGCAACGAGCGCAACCCUUAUCCUUUGUUGCCAGCGGUCCGGCCGGGAACUCAAAGGAGACUGCCAGUGAUAAACUGGAGGAAGGUGGGGAUGACGUCAAGUCAUCAUGGCCCUUACGACCAGGGCUACACACGUGCUACAAUGGCGCAUACAAAGAGAAGCGACCUCGCGAGAGCAAGCGGACCUCAUAAAGUGCGUCGCAGUCCGGAUUGGAGUCUGCAACUCGACUCCAUGAAGUCUGAAUCGCUAGUAAUCGUGAUCAGAU
rnacentral:rRNA from 1 species